rnacentral:rRNA from 1 species
UGGGGAAUAUUGCACAAUGGGCGCAAGCCUGAUGCAGCCAUGCCGCGUGUGUGAAGAAGUCCUUCGGGUUGUAAAGCACUUUCAGCGGGGAGGAAGGCGGUGAGGUUAAUAACCUCAUCGAUUGACGUUACCCGCAGAAGAAGCACCGGCUAACUCCGUGCCAGCAGCCGCGGUAAUACGGAGGGUGCAAGCGUUAAUCGGAAUUACUGGGCGUAAAGCGCACGCAGGCGGUCUGUCAAGUCGGAUGUGAAAUCCCCGGGCUCAACCUGGGAACUGCAUUCGAAACUGGCAGGCUAGAGUCUUGUAGAGGGGGGUAGAAUUCCAGGUGUAGCGGUGAAAUGCGUAGAGAUCUGGAGGAAUACCGGUGGCGAAGGCGGCCCCCUGGACAAAGACUGACGCUCAGGUGCGAAAGCGUGGGGAGCAAACAGG